ACAGUACAAACUGAGCAGGCCGGGGCGUAAGUCCUGAGAGCCGGGUCGCAAGGCGACAGUGGAUAUGACAUCUACGGGACAGU
rnacentral:ncRNA from 1 species